rnacentral:rRNA from 1 species
AGCAGCCGCGGUAAUUCCAGCUCCAAUAGCGUAUAUUAAAGUUGUUGCAGUUAAAAAGCUCGUAGUUGAACUUCAGGCCUGUCCAGAUGGUCCGCCUUAAUUGGUGUGUACUGUCCUUGGGUGGGUCCUACCUUCUGGCGAAGCGGCAUGGCCUUAGUUGGUUGUGUCGGGGAAGCAGGACUUUUACUGUGAAAAAAUUAGAGUGUUCAAAGCAGGCAUAUAUGCUCGAAUACAUUAGCAUGGAAUAAUGGAAUAGGACGAUGGUUCUAUUUUGUUGGUUCUAGGACCGUUGUAAUGAUUAAUAGGGAUAGUUGGGGGCAUUAGUAUUCAAUUGUCAGAGGUGAAAUUCUUGGAUUUAUUGAAGACUAACUACUGCGAAAGCAUUUGCCAAGGAUGUUUUCAUUAAUCAAGAACGAAAGUUAGGGGAUCGAAGACGAUCAGAUACCGUCGUAGUCUUAACCAUAAACUAUGCCGACUAGGAAUCGGGCGAUGUUGACAAAAUGACUCGCUCGGCACCUCAUG